rnacentral:rRNA from 1 species
CCUGCCCAGUGACACUAGUUCAACGGCCGCGGUAUCCUGACCGUGCAAAGGUAGCGUAAUCAUUUGUCUUUUAAAUCAAGACUCGUAUGAAAGGCACCACGAGAAUUAAACUGUCUCCUUUUUCUAAUCUGUGAAACUAAUCCCCCCGUGAAGAAGCGGGGAUUUUAGUAUAAGACGAGAAGACCCUAUGGAGCUUCAGACAAAUAAUAUGCCCCCCCCCUUUUUUCCCUCCUCGCUAAAAAUACCCGAGCAUUUUAAUUAUUUAGUCUUGGGUUGGGGCGACCACGGAGUAAAAAUCACCCUCCAUGCUGAACAGGACCUCCUUAAACAAGAGCAACAGCUCAACGAAUCAAUAAAUUGACACAUUUGACCCAAUUACUUGAUCAACGAAACAAGUUACCCUAGGGAUAACAGCGCAAUCCACUUCAAGAGCCCUUAUCAACAAGUGGGUUUACGACCUCGAUGUUGGAUCAGGGUAUCCCAGUGGUGCAACCGCUACUAAAGGUUUGUUUGUUC